GUAUUUGUAUGAUUUAAAGUUAAUAAAUUAACUUUCUUAUUGUCUAUUUUUUUUCCCUAGGCAAAAAGGUUCUGAUGCUUCAUGGAAAGAUAACAAUGAGCCUCCUGAAGAGCAUUUAGAUUAUUCUGAUGAUGAACAGGAAAGAGCAGCUAAAUUGAAGCGAAGGGG